rnacentral:rRNA from 1 species
CCUACGGGUGGCUGCAGUGGGGAAUAUUGGACAAUGGGCGAAAGCCUGAUCCAGCCAUGCCGCGUGUGUGAAGAAGGCCUUCGGGUUGUAAAGCACUUUCAGUGGGGAAGAAAGCCUUGGGGCUAAUACCCUCGAGGAAGGACAUCGCCCACAGAAGAAGCACCGGCUAACUCCGUGCCAGCAGCCGCGGUAAUACGGAGGGUGCGAGCGUUAAUCGGAAUUACUGGGCGUAAAGCGCGCGUAGGCGGUCUGAUAAGCCGGUUGUGAAAGCCCCGGGCUCAACCUGGGAACGGCAUCCGGAACUGUCAGGCUAGAGUGCAGGAGAGGAAGGUAGAAUUCCCGGUGUAGCGGUGAAAUGCGUAGAGAUCGGGAGGAAUACCAGUGGCGAAGGCGGCCUUCUGGACUGACACUGACGCUGAGGUGCGAAAGCGUGGGUAGCAAACAGGAUUAGAUACCCGAGUAGUU